rfam:Microsporum canis CBS 113480 supercont1.1 genomic scaffold, whole genome shotgun sequence.
GCCCGUAUAGCUCAGUGGUAGUAGCGCAUCACUCGUACUCAUUAUGAUAUGAUGAGGUCCUCGGUUCGAAUCCGAGUGUGGGCA